AUGGGGGAGGUGAAGGAGAAGGAGGCGCUGGCGGAGAUCCUUGAGGACCAUCGGAAGGGAUCUUCCGAUGACACCCUACCACCCGCGGGGCUGGACCUCAACGAAGGCUUCAGCGAGGCAAGCGACGACGGGAGAGACGGCGACGAGAACUACGACGACGAUGGCGGUAGCACAAGCGAGGUUGCUGGAGGAGGCAGGAGCUCAAGCAACAACAACAGCACCAACCAUGAAUCAGAAAGCAGCAGGGGUCGUCAUGACAAGGCCGAGGGCAGCGGCGAGAGGGUGCCCACGGUGCGGCAGUACAACCGGUCGAAGCACCCCCGGCUCCGCUGGACGCCGGACCUCCACAUGGCGUUCCUCCAUGCCGUCGAGCGGCUGGGCGGCCAAGAGAGAGCAACGCCAAAGCUGGUGCUUCAGAUGAUGAAUGUGAGGGGGCUCAACAUUGCUCAUGUGAAAAGUCACUUGCAGAUGUACAGAAGCAAAAAGAUAGAGCACGAGUCCAGCCACGAGAGGGCGGCCAUGUCCUCAGUCUUUUCGCCCAUGAAUUUCCACAUGAGGAGAGGGGACCAUCCGUUCCACGACAUGUUCUUCCAGCAGCGAGCUGCCGGCUCGACGCUCACCUCCAGGUUCAACGACGGUGGGGUCUUCACGCCGAGGAAUGCCGGCUUCCCGGAUGCUAGCCGGAUUUACGGGCUCCUCCAAUGCCGGCAGCCUCCAUUACAAACCUUCGACUUCAAGAACAGCACGAGCCUUAGGAAUCAAGAAUGGGCGUUCACCCAGCACGCGGCGGCGGCGAGGGCACGCGCGGUUAAUGACAAUGGUCCGGGGAAAGGGCUAAUCCACGAGAUGAUCUUCAGGAAGGACGGCAAGCCGACGUCGCAUUUGUUCGACGUGAGGGACGCCGCCGCCUCCAGCGGGACGACGUCGCCGUCAACAACAACAACAACCACGAGCCAAGCCGACCGUAGGCCAGAUGGCGCAAAGAUGGGAAGCAUGAAUUGGAUCGGCAGCAGCUCUCGGCCGCUCUCGAAGACAAUGUCGGCUACUGGUUUGGAGCAGGGCGGCCACGCUCAGCUCCCAUUUAGGUGGCGAGGUGCCGCCGGCAGCAAUGGCUGCCACCCCAACGGCAACACUGGCAGAACAACGUCAUCUUCAGAUCCCGUGGUGACAUGUGAAGCAGGUUCCCCGCUCUUGCUGCCGAAGCAGGGAGUGCCGAGGACUCCAGCCAAAGCUACUGAGGAGACGAGCAUCGGAGCAGACGCGAGGAAAACGAAGGCAUCGGCUGCGGCGGAGGAGAACGGGUGGGCGCCGGAGUUGCAGCUAAGCCUGAGCCCCAACGCGGCGGCAGACACUGCAGGAAGGGGCAAGAAGAGGAACAGCGCUGGGCAGGAGGUGAGCAGCGACAAGGUGCCACUCUCUCUCUCGCUGUCAUUACAUGGUGGCGUCGUCGACGACGACGACGGUGGUGGCCGGGAUGGCAGGAGGUUAGAGGUAGCGACAGGUAGCAGCAGCAAGAAGGCCGCUCUGGGGCUGAGUACUUUGGAUCUGACCAUGUCGAUCAAGACAUUGGAGUGA
rnacentral:rRNA from 1 species